rnacentral:piRNA from 1 species
UGCAACGAGUGCUGGCAAGGAGGU